AAUUAAAGAAGAUUUUGGUGUACACUAGAAGCAUCGACAAUAAUACUAAGUAACCGCCAGGUGUAAUUAAAAGAAGUUACAGUAACUAUAAGUGGUUACGAGCUAUUCUGAUCGGUUUAAAGUGGUCCGGAAAAAUAGGAGUAGUGGCCGAUCAUGGAUGGGAUAAUAACAGAUCAAUAGGGGCGACCUAUAAAUAGACAAAUAACGCCCAGAAGAAAGGUCUUUUUUUUCAGAAUAGAAAACCACCUUUAUUUCCUCUGUAUUUUUCUCGCAUUUUCUAGGAGUAGUCUACUUGUAAUUUUUUACUUUUUCGCAU
rnacentral:lncRNA from 1 species